UGGGGAAUAUUGCACAAUGGGGGAAACCCUGAUGCAGCCAUGCCGCGUGUGUGAAGAAGGCCUUCGGGUUGUAAAGCACUUUCAGCGAGGAGGAAAGGUUGGCGCCUAAUACGUGUCAACUGUGACGUUACUCGCAGAAGAAGCACCGGCUAACUCCGUGCCAGCAGCCGCGGUAAUACGGAGGGUGCAAGCGUUAAUCGGAAUUACUGGGCGUAAAGCGCACGCAGGCGGUUGGAUAAGUUAGAUGUGAAAGCCCCGGGCUCAACCUGGGAAUUGCAUUUAAAACUGUCCAGCUAGAGUCUUGUAGAGGGGGUAGAAUUCCAGGUGUAGCGGUGAAAUGCGUAGAGAUCUGGAGGAAUACCGGUGGCGAAGGCGGCCCCCUGGACAAAGACUGACGCUC
rnacentral:rRNA from 1 species